AGCGAACGCUGGCGGCAGGCUUAACACAUGCAAGUCGAGCGGGCCCUUCGGGGUCAGCGGCGGACGGGUGAGUAACGCGUGGGAACGUGCCUUCUGGUCUGGAAUAACCCUGGGAAACUAGGGCUAAUACCGGAUACGCCCUUUUGGGGAAAGGUUUACUGCCGGAAGAUCGGCCCGCGUCUGAUUAGCUAGUUGGUGGGGUAACGGCCUACCAAGGCGACGAUCAGUAGCUGGUCUGAGAGGAUGAUCAGCCACACUGGGACUGAGACACGGCCCAGACUCCUACGGGAGGCAGCAGUGGGGAAUAUUGGACAAUGGGCGCAAGCCUGAUCCAGCCAUGCCGCGUGAGUGAUGAAGGCCUUAGGGUUGUAAAGCUCUUUUAUCCGGGACGAUAAUGACGGUACCGGAGGAAUAAGCCCCGGCUAACUUCGCG
rnacentral:rRNA from 1 species